UGAGACAGGAUUGUGUCGAGGCACAGAUCUGGGGAAGGGUACCAAAAAUAUUCUGCGGCAUUGAAGGUCCCCAAGAACACAGUGACCUCCGUCAUUGUUAAAUGGAAGAUGUUUGGAACCACCAAGACUCUCCUAGGUCUGGUCGCCUGGUCAAACUGAGCAAUCAGGGGAGAGGGGCCUUGGUCACGGUGGUGACCAAGAACCUGAUGGUCACCGACAGAGCUCCAGAGUUCCUCUGUGGAGAUGGGAGAACCUUCCAGAAGGACAACCAUCUAUGCAGCACUCCACCAUUCAGUCCUUUAUUGUAGAGUGGCCAGACAGAAGCCACUCCUCAGUAAAAGGCACAUGACAUGACACUCCUGGAGUUUGCCAAAAGGCACCUAAAGGACUCAGACCAUGAGAAACAAGACUCUCUGGUCUGAUGAAACCAAGAUUGAACUCUUUGGCCUGAAUGCCAAGCGUCACAUCUGGAGGAAACCUGGCACCAUCCCUACGGUGAAGCAUGGUGGUGGCAGCAUCAUGCUGUGGGGAUGUUUUUCAGCGGCAGGGACUGGGAGAGUAGGCAGGAUCGAGGGAAAGAUGAACGGAGCAAAGUACAGAGAGAUCCUUGAUGGAGACCUGCUCCAAGGCACUCAGGACCUCAGACUGGGGUGAAGUUUCACCUUCCAACAGGACAAUGACCCUAAACACACAGCCAAGACAAUGCAGGAGUGGCUUUGGGACAAGUCUCAGUGUCCUUGAGUGGCCCAGCCAAAGCCAGGACUUGACCCCGAUCAAACAUCUCUGGAGAGACCUGAAAAUAGCUGUGCAGCAACACUCCCCAUCCAACGUGACAGAGAUUGAGAGGAUCUGCAGAGAAGAAUGGGAGAAACUCCCCAAAUAAAGGUGUGCCAAGCUUGUUGCGUCAUACCCAAGAAGACUGGAGGCUGUAAUCACUGCAAAACGUGCUUCAUCAAAGUACUGAGUAAAGGGUCUGAAUACUUAUGUAAAUGUCAUAUUUCAGUUAAUAUUUAAUCAAAAAUUCUCAAAAAACCUGUUCUUGCUUUGUAAUUAUGGGGCAUUGUGAUGUCAUUAUGGGGUAUUGUGAUGUCAUUAUGGGGUAUUGUGAAGUCAUUAUGGGGUAUUGUGAUGUCAUUAUGGGGUAUUGUGAUGUCAUUAUGGGGUAUUGUGUGUAGAUUAAUGAUGGGGGAAAAAUACAAUUGAAUCCAUUUUAGAGUAAGGCUGUAAUGUAACAAAAUGUGGAAAUGUCUAGGGGUCUGAAUACUUUCCGAAUGCCCUGUACAGUAUACGUUAGGGCUUAUUGAGGUCAAAUUGAGGUCAACAAAUGAUUUGUUAUUAUGUUCCAGGCCCCCGACCAUCUUCCCACGGUUAAAUGUAGUUGAUGAUGCCUGCCACACACUGUAACGUCAGGGAGGUGAUGCCUGCCACACACUGUAACGUCAGGGAGGUGAUGCCUGCCAUACACUGUAACGUCAGGGAGGUGAUGCCUGCCAUACACUGUAACGCCAGGGAGGUGAUGCCUGCCAUACACUGUAACGCCAGGGAGGUGAUGCCUGCCACACACUGUAACGUCAGGGAGGUGAUGCCUGCCAUACACUGUAACGUCAGGGAGGUGAUGCCUGCCAUACACUGUAACGUCAGGGAGGUGAUGCCUGCCAUACACUAACGUCAGGGAGGUGAUGCCUGCCAUACACUGUAACGUCAGGGAGGUGAUGCCUGCCAUACACUGUAACGUCAGGGAGGUGAUGCCUGCCAUACACUGUAACGUCAGGGAGGUGAUGCCUGCCAUACACUGUAACGUCAGGGAGGUGAUGCCUGCCACACACUGUAACGUCAGGGAGGUGAUGCCUGCCAUACACUGUAACGUCAGGGAGGUGAUGCCUGCCACACACUGUAACGUCAGGGAGGUGAUGCCUGCCAUACACUGUAACGCCAGGGAGGUGAUGUCUGCCAUACACUGUAACGUCAGGGAGGUGAUGCCUGCCAUACACUGGAACGUCAGGGAGGUGAUGCCUGCCAUACACUGGAACGUCAGGGAGGUGAUGCCUGCCAUACACUGGAACGUCAGGGAGGUGAUGCCUGCCACACACUGUAACGUCAGGGAGGUGAUGCCUGCCAUACACUGUAACGUCAGGGAGGUGAUGCCUGCCACACACUGUAACGUCAGGGAGGUGAUGCCAUGUACAGACCCAGUCCACAGAAUUAACAACAACUGAGAUAAAUAUUUAAUAAAUGUAUUAAUAAAUAGAAGGACAGAUGAUCUCUAUGGGGAAGCCAUCCGGUGGUAUUGUGACGACCCAGGAAGAGGC